GUCCUAGUUACCAGCACGUUAUGGUGGGCACGUCUAAGGAGACGUGCCGGUGACAAACCGGAGGAAGGUGGGGAUGACGUCAAGUCAUCAUGGCCCUUACGGCCUGGGCUACACACGUGCUACAAUGGUCGGUACAAAGGGUUGCCAAGCCGCGAGGUGGAGCUAAUCCCAUAAAACCGAUCGUAGUCCGGAUCGCAGUCUGCAACUCGACUGCGUGAAGUCGGAAUCGCUAGUAAUCGUGAAUCAGAAUGUCACGGUGAAUACGUUCCCGGGCCUU
rnacentral:rRNA from 1 species